GACGUAGGGCGCGAGCGUUGUCCGGAUUUAUUGGGCGUAAAGAGCUCGUAGGCGGUUUGUCGCGUCGUUCGUGAAAACUCACAGCUUAACUGUGAGCUUGCGGUCGAUACGGGCAGGCUAGAGUUCGGUAGGGGAGACUAGAAUUCCUGGUGUAGCGGUGAAAUGCGCAGAUAUCAGGAGGAACACCGGUGGCGAAGGCGGGUCUCUGGGCCGAUACUGACGCUGAGGAGCGAAAGCGUGGGGAGCGAACAGG
rnacentral:rRNA from 1 species